UAUCUGAAACGAAUGGUGAAAGAAACAUAUCAAAGUCGGAGGCGGAGGCGCCUAUUAUUCUGGUAUUUAUUGCUGAAAUUGACAAGUACUUCAGGCAUGAUGGGGAAAGGCAUCCCCCUCUGACUCCGUUCUGUGAUAAAUCGUGCAAUACGCAGGUGCACAGACUUGGGAGACCGCGCAGACAUGGGGGUACUGACCAUACUGUGGAAAAUUUCUUGACAAAUGAACAGGGUAGCACUGGGCUUCGUUCAAG